UACGGAGGACGCAAGCGUUAUCCGGAUUCAUUGGGUUUAAAGGGUGCGUAGGCGGCCUUUUAAGUCAGUGGUGAAAUCCUGCCGCUUAACGGUAGAAUUGCCAUUGAUACUGAAAGGCUUGAGUCCAGUUGAGGUAAGCGGAAUGUGUAGUGUAGCGGUGAAAUGCUUAGAUAUUACACAGAACACCAAUUGCGAAGGCAGCUUACUAAACUGUAACUGACGCUGAUGCACGAAAGCGUGGGGAGCGA
rnacentral:rRNA from 1 species